rnacentral:misc_RNA from 1 species
UCUCCGUAGGUGAACCUGCGGAGGUAUCAUUACUGAGCGAGGGUCUCCCGGCCCGACCUCCAACCCUUUGUGAACGCAACUAGUUGCUUCGGGGGGCGACCCUACCGUUCGGCGCGGCGCCCCUGGAGGUUAUCAAAAGACUACAUCUCUACGUCGGAGUUAUAAGUUAAUUGAACAAAACUUUCAACAAUAGAUCUCUUGGUUCUAGUAUCGAUGAAGAACGCAGC